rnacentral:lncRNA from 1 species
CCUUCUCACUAAUUUUUGACCUCAACCUCUGCACUUCUCCCAUUUCCUAUAUAUACACGGCCAUAGUCAUAACUUUCGGGCUCUUCUAAAACUGCGCCUCUCUUAAAAACGAAAACUUUGCGACCUUCAUCUAAGCUUGAAGAUAACAGAAACUGUAUACUGAAAGGCUCCUCUGACUGAUUUCAAAGAUUAUGAACAAUCUUAUUUCGCUACCCACCUAAGGUUUUUUCAAAAGGAUUGAUAUGCAUCCAUAUUCUUUAUGAGAACUAAACAUAAUGAGAUGCACGAAUCUUCUGGACUUAAACUGGAGCAAAGCCAAACAUCUGCAUCAAUGAUUUUCAGCGGUUGUUCGGGGGCGCUGUUUGCUUAAUUAAUGGAACUAGAUUCGAAUUAAUAAGGUGAUCGAUCUUGUCGAAUUGCGUUUCUUCUACUGUGAGUGACUAUGCACUCUCUCAUUCUUGAGAAUCACAAUCGAGUACACACUACGUAUUUUAAAUUCCUGUGGGGCUCCAAAGACUAAUUUGAAAGAAAAUAUCUUGGUAGAUAUAUCCGCAGAAAGAGAAAAAUCGUGUCUGCUUUCACAAUUCAUAUCCUCAUUGACGUUACAAAUUUGAUUGAUUAAAAAUUUAUUAUAACAGAAAAGAGAACUCACCAAUAGUUGGAUUAUCAACAGUGGAGAUACGUACAGGCGAGGAAAAAUAAUUCGGAAAGAACUGCAGCAUACAUACCUGUAACAAAAAAGGAAGGAAACAUGUUACAUAAAUUCAUUAUACACAUAUUUACGUGAGCUUUUAGAAUUGAGGGUAUUUUAUUAAAUAGCUCCAAUCUCUAGAAACACUUCUAUUCUUGAUAAAACUUCUUACAAGUUCUUUGAAUUUAGGUAUAAAUGUUUUGAAAGUUGUACCGCUUUGGCGUGUCCAAUUGUUAAGCAUAAAGUGUUGUAUCUAAAUAGAUAGCGUUCUCUUGUAAAAAUUUAAAAUUUCCAGUUAAAUUUAGCCAUAGCUGAAGUGGCUUGGCUCCUUUCUGCUAAACGCGAUCCAAUUUCGGUUUUCCUGCCCUCCGUUGGGCCGUAUAAAUUCCUCUAGAAGACGGAGUAAGCUUG